UACGGAAGGGCGAGCGUUGUUCGGAAUCAUUGGGCGUAAAGGGCGCGUAGGUGGUUCUGUAUGUCUACUGUGAAAGCGUACAGCUCAACUGUAUUUGUCGGUAGAAACUGCAGGACUUGAGGCUGGGAGGGGCUGGUGGAAUUCCCUGUGUAGCGGUGAAAUGCGUAGAGAUGGGGAGAACACUCGUGGCGAAGGCGGCCAGCUAGACCAGUUCUGACACUGAGGCGCGACAGCGUGGGGAGCAAACAGG
rnacentral:rRNA from 1 species